CGAACGGAGUACAGCAAUGUGCUUAGUGGCGCACGGGUGAGUAACACGUGGCUAACCUGCCCCGAAGUGGGGGAUAACGCAUCGAAAGGUGUGCUAAUACCGCAUGAGCUUGACAGGAAUAGAGACUGUCAAGGAAAGCUUUAGUGCUUUGGGAGGGGGCUGCGACCCAUCAGGUAGAUGGCGAGGUAACGGCUCACCAUGCCAACGACGGGUAGGGGACCUGAGAGGGUGACCCCCCACACUGGGACUGAGACACGGCCCAGACUCCUACGGGAGGCAGCAGUAAGGAAUAUUGCUCAAUGGGCGCAAGCCUGGAGCAGCGACGCCGCGUGGGCGAUGAAGGUCUUCGGACCGUAAAGCCCUUUUCUGCGUGACGAGAAAGGACGGUAGCGCAGGAAGAAGUCUCGGCUAACUACGUGCCAGCAGCCACGGUAAAACGUAGGAGACGAGCGUUAUCCGGAAUUACUGGGCGUAAGGCGCGAGUGGGCGGCUAUUUAAGUGGUCUGUGAAAGCGUCCGGCUCAACUGGACGAGGCCGGAUCAGACUGGAUGGCUAGAGGGUCAGAGAGGCAGGCGGAAUUCCGGGUGUAGUGGUGAAAUGCGUAGAGAUCCGGAGGAACACCAGUGGCGAAGGCGGCCUGCUGGCUGACAACUGACGCUGAGGCGCGAAAGCAUGGGGAGCGAACGGGAUUAGAAACCCC
rnacentral:rRNA from 1 species